GAUGAACGCUGGCGGCGUGCCUAAUACAUGCAAGUCGAGCGAACAGACGAGAGUGCUUGCACUCUCUGCCGUUAGCUGGGGACGGGUGAUUAACACGUGGGUAACCUACCUAUAAGACUGGGAUAACUUCGGGAAACCGGAGCUAAUACCGGAUAAUAUUUAGCUUCGCAUGAAGCAAUAGUGAAAGACGGUUCUGCUGUCACUUAUAGAUGGACCCGCGGUGUAUUAGCUAGUUGGUGAGGUAACGGCUCACCAAGGCAACGAUACAUAGCCGACCUGAGAGGGUGAUCGGCCACACUGGGACUGAGACACGGCCCAGACGCCUACGGGAGGCAGCAGUAGGGAAUCAUCCGCAAUGGAAGAAAGUCUGACGGAGCAAUGCCGAGUGGGUGAAGAAGGUUUUCGGAUCGUAAAACUCUGUUGUAAGGGAAGAACCAGUACGUAAGUAACUGAACGUACCUUGACGGUACCUUACCAGAAAGCCACGGCUAACUACGU
rnacentral:rRNA from 1 species